UAAUACAUGCAAGUCGAGCGAAUGAUGAGGAGCUUGCUCCUCUGAUUUAGCGGCGGACGGGUGAGUAACACGUGGGUAAUCUGCCUGUAAGACGGGGAUAACUCCGGGAAACCGGGGCUAAUACCGGAUAAUAAGAGAAGAAGCAUUUCUUCUUUUUGAAAGUCGGUUUCGGCUGACACUUACAGAUGAGCCCGCGGCGCAUUAGCUAGUUGGUGAGGUAACGGCUCACCAAGGCGACGAUGCGUAGCCGACCUGAGAGGGUGAUCGGCCACACUGGGACUGAGACACGGCCCAGACUCCUACGGGAGGCAGCAGUAGGGAAUCUUCGGCAAUGGGCGAAAGCCUGACCGAGCAACGCCGCGUGAGCGAUGAAGGCCUUCGGGUCGUAAAGCUCUGUUGUUAGAGAAGAACAAGUACGAGAGUAACUGCUCGUACCUUGACGGUACCUAACCAGAAAGCCACGGCUAACUACGUGCCAGCAGCCGCGGUAAUACGUAGGUGGCAAGCGUUAUCCGGAAUUAUUGGGCGUAAAGCGCGCGCAGGCGGUCUCUUAAGUCUGAUGUGAAAGCCCACGGCUCAACCGUGGAGGGUCAUUGGAAACUGGGAGACUUGAGUGCAGGAGAGAAAAGUGGAAUUCCACGUGUAGCGGUGAAAUGCGUAGAGAUGUGGAGGAACACCAGUGGCGAAGGCGGCUUUUUGGCCUGUAACUGACGCUGAGGCGC
rnacentral:rRNA from 1 species